rnacentral:misc_RNA from 1 species
AACAUGUUUAUAUUCCGCUCUGGAAGGAAUUAUGGUUCCUAUAUUGUCAAUGAGAAACCAGACAUCAGUUUCAAGGAGAGGUUUGAGAACUCCUUUUCUCCUGGAAGUAAAGGGGCCUCCCACCUCCUUCUCCUGGAGGAAGGACCACAUCUCCUUCAGAAGGAAACCGUUCAAUACUUCUCCAAUGAAUAUCUUAGUUUUAUCGAGAACAAUGAGAAGAAGAUAAACGAGUUAAAUGUUGAAUCCCAAGAACCAAACCCUGAUGAAGUAACGACCCCUAACUCUCAAAUCAUUCCCUGGAAGCUCAUUGAAUCACGGAGAGAUCCGUCAGUGGAAGAUCAUACAGGAGAAGAUCUUUCAAGAGCUGAUCCAGCAAAAGAUAAUGAUCUUCCAGCAAAAGAUCAUAAUGAAACAGAUCCUGAAGACCCCGAUCAACCUUUGGAAGAAGAUCCUACUUACGCUGAUGACCCUACAGCAGAAGAUCCUGCAAAUGCUGAAGAUCCAGUCGUAGAAGAUCCUGAAAAUGCUGAAGAUCCUUCCGACCAAACUGCAGUUGAAAAAAACCUUGAAAAUGAUCUAAGAUCUGCAGAGAUUGGGGCAGCUGCUAUUGUCAUCACAGAGGCAGACGAGGAGAACAUUGAUCCGGAGAAGAACCACAAUCUUAACUUUGCCACUGUUCACAGAAAACUCAGGAAUGCUCCCCGAGUUCAAACUUCUCAGAAUGCGGCUCAGAAGAAAAUGAAAAAUGUUAAGGAUAUACACCGAGAGCAGACAUCCUCAAAAUCCACCUAUAAACCUAACCCGGAGAAGCAGUACCCGGAAAGAAAGAACGGAAAAGAUCUAUAUCAGGCUGGAGAAGGAGAAGAGGAAUUAAGAGCAGCAUCACUGACGCAGACUGAAGAUAACCCUGUUCACUUUAUUCAUUCAACUCCGAGAGAGCAGGAGUUGGAAGAUGAUAAUAGAACCCUGCAUACUCCUAAUAUUGCUGUUAGUUUGCCGGUGGACAGCUGUAUGUUUAGUGAGAUCCUAGAGGAGCUAGAUAUACCAGAGAACCCAGAGUCUAGUAAUAAACCAUCGGAGAAGAGAACUGUAACUUUUGAUCCUAUCGUUCAGAGUAUGUCGGCUAACGAAUCGACGGAGAAAAAGAAGAAAGGAAAAAGGUCGAACAGAAAGGAAGAUGCCAGGAACCACAAAUCUGAGGUUUUAGAUGUCAGGACGAAUAUCGGAGACAAGAUGACGAAUAUCGUAGACGUGAGGACGAAUAUCGGAGAAGAGAGGACGGAACAAGGACAGGACGAGACAAGAGCUGAGAAUGAACUGCAGCAGGGACAAAUAAAUAAAACCCUUGUGAUUCAUCAGACCAGGAGUCACGUGAUCAGCUUGGAGAACUCUAGAUACCCUGCUCUAGUUAUUCAUAAAUAUACAAGUGAUGGGAAGCCAAGCCACCUAACUCCAGAUGUUGGAGAAAUAGUGUUCCUUCAUGGCAGGGUUAACUUUGCCUGGUACUGUGCAGAGUACAGGGGAGCAACAGGGACUGUAGGUAGAUAUAAGUUCAAUUGACCCUUGAGAUACUGCAUGCCCAAUCUACGUUCUGCAAGGAUACCAUUUAGGAUUUAUCCCUGCAACUCAUGUCAAGAUCCUUCCAACAGAUUCCCCGCCGCAAGAUGUUGCUCAG